AUGUUGUGAAACCAUCUCCUCUAUUCCAUUCCAAAAUAAUUUGCAUUAACUCUGAAGGAGACCCCAAACCCAUUAAGCAGUCACUACCAAUUUUUCCCUUUUACUGGUUCCUAGCAAUGACUAAUCUGCUUUGUCUCCAUGGAAUUAUCCAAUUUAGAUAUUUCAUAUAAAUGGAAUCAUGCAAUAUGUGACCUUUCAUGUUUGGCUUCUUUCACUUAGCAUAAUAUAUUCAAGGUCCAUUCACAUUGUAGUAUGUAUAGUAUUUCAUUCCUUUUUAUGGCUGAAUAAUAUUUAAUUGUAUGCCCAUAUUGUAUUCUGUUUAGCCAUUCAAUAUUGAUGGAUAUUUGGGUUAUUUCCAUGUUUCUACCAUUAUAAGCGCUGCCUUAAACACUUCUGUAUAAGUGUUUGUGUGGGUGUAUGUUUUUAUUUCUCUUGGGUAAUAUUUAAGAAUGGAAUUGCUGGGUCAUGUGGUAAUUCCAUGUAAAACUUUUUCAGGAACUGCCAAACUAUUCCACAGUGGCUGCAACAUUUUGCACUCCUACCACCAAUAUAUUAGGGUUCCAAUUGCUCUCCAUUCUCAAAGACAACUGUUAAUUUUCACAUUUUUUAUUUUUGCAUUUUCCUAAUGACUAAUAAUAUUAAGCAUCUUUUCUUGUAUUUAUCAGAUAUUUAUCGAUCUUCUUUGGAGAAAUAUCUAUUCAAGACCCUUUUCCAUUUUUUAAAUUGGCUUGCUUGUCAUUUUCUUAUUGAAUUAUAACAGUUCUUCAUAUAUUCUGGAUACAAAACCCUUUUCAGAUAUAUGAUUUGCAAAUAUUUUCUUCCAUUCUGUGGAUUGCUUUUUUACUUUCUUGAAAGUGUCUUCUUAUCCACAGAAGUUUUUAAUUUUUAUGAAGUCCAAUUUAUAUGUUUUCUUUUUGUUGUUCUUCUUUUUGAUGUCAUAUCUAAAACUUCAUUGCCAAAUUCAAGGACAUGAAGAUUUAUACCUUUGUUUUCUUUCAAGAGUUUUAAAGUUUAUCUCAUAUAUUUAGCUCUUUGAUACAUUUUGAGUUAAUUUUUGUAUAUUGUGUGAGUUUAUUUUUGUAAAUGACUUUAUACAAUUUAAAGGUUCUUUUGAUUGCAGAACACAACACACUGUCACAAAAAUAGAUAGAAGGCAGAACCCUUUGUUACUUAUAGCUCCAAAAGAGAGAAAGUUAGUUGCCAAGCAGAGCUACAGGCAUUACACCUGGAUAACAGCUAGUUGGAUCUCUCAAGGGCAGUUUAUGUAUUACAAAUUAGGUGGGGCUAGCUACAUUUUUCUGGAUCUUUGAAGAUUGGCUAAUUUGAAUAAUUUCUCAGGCUCCAGGGCAUAGGGGCUGUUCUUAGUUGUCUGGAACCUGGCCCAUGGGCAAAUAGGGCUGGUGCAUAGUGUCCCAGAGUGUGAAUGCAUGAUCUGGGAAGUGGUAGAAGUGUAUACUUUAUCACCUGUUCAUGAAGGGCAACUAACCAGCCUCUAGCCAGGGCCUCACAAUUGACUCGACAGCAUUUUUACAAAAAAAAAAAUAAAAAAAUAAAAUAAAAAUAAAAAAGAUGAUGUAGUUGAUGACUAGAUGUCUUGACAUCCAUCUUGAACUCCAUUGUUGGGAUAUUUGAGUGGCUCAAAUAGUAAAAAAGAUUUACAAAGAGCAGGACAUAAGUUGCCCUAAACAACAUAAAAGACCUUUUAUUAUGAGAAUAAAAAGGAAGAAAACAAGUAGAAGAAUAAGAAGUUCUUAUAGGCCAGACAUAACCAAGGGAGAUGAGGGGUGGUCUAGGAGGUAGUUGCCUCAUGAGGCAAGCAAUAAUCUCCAUUAAUUUUUAAAAUGGCAUUAAUAGUCGUAACUUCUACAAGAUUUCCCCUUUAGAUAUGGAAGUGUAGAAGUAUACAGUAUACCUUUUGGCAGAGAGAAAAACAUAUACCAGGGUCAUGAACUAAAUAAAUAAUGAACUGAAGAAAUGUAAUAGAAUCCCCAAUAUCAAAGAAAGAAAAACAAUAAAUAUAUUGCGUUCAAUUUGUCAGUAUUUUUGGAAAGACAGCAUAUAGGCAUUGUUGAAACGAUGGUCUCAGUGUCUGGGGUGAAGUCUUCCCCUGUUUAGAGAGCAAAGUCAUCUCCAAUGUAAGAUCUUUGACUGGGACCAUGUUAUUUGAAGAAACAUCAUUUCCAGUGGCAAGCUUCUGGAUUGGGGUGAUGUCAUCUAGGAUGUGGGACUGUGGUAUUAUUUCCAAGUAGAUACCUACUCGGGUUGAUGCGAGUCAUGUUUUCAUGGUUCUGGUAUUAUAAGGAGGCUGGGAUGUGUGUGGACUCUAAAGGCAAUGUUGGGCCUGGAAGACUGACUUGCAAAUUUCUUUUUUAAUUAUGAUAAGUUAUCAUAAUACAAAAUUUUCCUUCUUAACCAUUUUUUAGUACACAUAUCAGUGGCAUUAAGUAUACUCGCAUUGUUGUGCAACCAUCACCACCAUCCAUCUCCAGAAAUUUCUUUGUCUCCCCAAACUGAAAUUUUGUACCCAUUAAACUAACUCCCCUUGCCCCACUCUCUUUAUGCCCUGGCAAGCACCAUUCUGCUUUCUGUCCCUAAGUGUUUGACUACUUUAGGUAUUUUGAAUAAAUGAAAUCACGAAUCUU